UUCCGGUUGACCCUGCCAGACCUGACUGCUAUCGGAUUGAUACUAAGCCAUGCGAGUCAUUGUAGCAAUACAAGGCAUACGGCUCAGUAACGCGUAGUCAACCUAACCUAUGGACGGGAAUAACCUCGGGAAACUGAGAAUAAUGCCCGAUAGAACAUUAUACCUGGAAUGGUUUAUGUUCCAAAUGAUUUAUCGCCGUAGGAUGGGACUGCGGCCAAUCAGUUUGUUGGUGAGGUAAUGGCCCACCAAGACUAUUACAGGUACGGGCUCUGAGAGGAGUAGCCCGGAGAUGGGUACUGAGACACGGACCCAGGCCCUAUGGGGCGCAGCAGGCGAGAAAACUUUGCAAUGUGCGAAAGCACGACAAGGUUAAUCCGAGUGGUUUCUGCUAAAGGAACCUUUUGUUAGUCCUAGAAACACUAACGAAUAAGGGGUGGGCAAGUUCUGGUGUCAGCCGCCGCGGUAAAACCAGCACCUCAAGUGGUCAGGAUGAUUAUUGGGCCUAAAGCAUCCGUAGCCGGCUCUGUAAGUUCUCGGUUAAAUCUGUACGCUUAACGUACAGGCUGCCGGGAAUACUGCAGAGCUAGGGAGUGCGAGCGGUAGACGGAACUCGGUAGGAAGGGGUAUAAUCGUUUGCUCGUUUGAGACCCCCUGCCACAAAGCGGUCUAUCACACCAAGCGCGACGCUGCGGGAUGAUUAAGAGUCUUGGAUCCCCUACUCGUAUAGUCUCCAAUGAAACUAUGUAUGAGUAUUUUUGCGUUGAGAUGAGCCCCUUGCAGUGAUAGGUGCGGCGGGACGUACUAGUAUUAACGUAUAAA
rnacentral:rRNA from 1 species